CCUACGGGUGGCAGCAGUCGGGAAUAUUGCGCAAUGGAGGAAACUCUGACGCAGUGACGCCGCGUGUGUGAAGAAGGUAUUCGGAUUGUAAACUAUUGUCGUCAGGGAAGAUAAAAGACUGUACCUAAGAAGAAAGCCCCGGCUAACUAUGUGCCAGCAGCCGCGGUAAUACAUAGGGGGCAAGCGUUAUCCGGAAUUAUUGGGUGUAAAGGGUGCGUAGACGGAAGAACAAGUCGGUUGUGAAAUGCGUCGGCUCAACCGAGGAACUGCAACGAAAACUGUUCGCCUUGAGUGUAGGAGAGGAAAGUGGAAUUCCUAGUGUAGCGGUGAAAUGCGGAGAGAUUAGGAGGAACACCAGUGGCGAAGGCGACUUUCUGGACUAUAACUGACGUUGAGGCUCGAAAGUGUGGGGAGCAAACAGGAUUAGAUACCCGGGUAGUC
rnacentral:rRNA from 1 species